UUUGCAAAGUAAAUUUGUUGGAACAACUGUCUUGGAACAACUCUUGGAAAAACAAAAUUUCUUCUGGGAUUACUCCUUCACAUCGAAAGAAACCAUUUGAGGUGUUAUAAAGGCUCACCUUUCAGCACAUUCACUUCACCAGAUGCACCUUGUUUCUUUUCCCCACCUUUGAUUGGGUGUGGUGCUUGCCCUUAAUUGCACUCACCUGUCACUCGUUAUAUAAGGACUGCACUCACCUACAGCUCACUCUUUCUUCACUCCCACAUGGGGUGGCAGCUGAGGUGAGUUUCUGUUUGAGUCUCCUGAGUUCAUGUAUUAUUUUGAGUUACUUAAAUCAUAUUUUAUUUCCUUUCAGAGAUAGCAGUCCAUGUGUGUCUUUCCUUUACCCAUUAUUCAAUAAAACGACAAAACCUGCAGAUGAUUGAUGACUGCUUAUUCUCAUUCUAAUCGGAUGAGCCCAUGAUGAUGCCUACUUAAACCCUGAGCCUUCCUUCCUCCAAAACAAGGUGGUUCGGGCAUCUGCCAGAGAAUGGGCCAUGCCUGCCCAGGGAGAAAGGCCCUAGGGCAGACGUAAGACACACUGAAGAAAUUAUAUCUCCCAGCUGGAUGGAUGGAUGCUAGGAGGUAAACUUAGAAGCUAUAAAGUGCAGCAGGUGGAGAAAACCAAUGAAAGAGCGAAUGUCAAGGCAUCCUCAGAAAGAUGUGCCUUCUCAUCCCUCUGCUGCUUUUCUUUCUGUGGGGAUCUGUUAAACUUGAAACUUUACUCUGGGUCUUACAUGACAAUUGGACAAAAGCACAGACCUUCUGCAGGAAGUACCACACAGACCUGGUCACAAUCAGAAAUGAACAAGAGAACACAUUUUUCAGUUCUGGAAGCUGGAUCGGAUUAUAUCGAGCUAAUACAAGUACAUGGAAAUGGUCCUGAGGAGACGAGAUAGCUAGCUUCACCAAGUGGGAUAGUUAUAGGGCAAGUCAGAAUGGAGACUGUGUAUAUAAGUAUAAUGGCUUAUGGUUUACUCACGGUUGUCAUUCCAAUCAUUCUUUCAUGUGCUAUGAUGAGAAACUGGUUUUAGUGAAGGAGAAUAAGACCUGGGAGGAGGCAUUAGACCACUGCAGGUCUCUGGGUGCAGUGGACACAAAUGAUCCCAACUCUCCCUACAGGAACCAUCACUAUGACCUGGCCACACUGAUCACUACUGGUGACCACACCUAUGCACGGGAGAGAUCACAACAAGCUACCACUGAUGAGGUGUGGACAGGCCUGUAUAACCUGGCUGGUGAGUGGCUG